UACGGAGAGUGCAAGCGUUGUUCGGAAUCACUGGGCGUAAAGGGCGUGUAGGCGGCCUGUUAAGUCUGAUGUGAAAUCUCCAAGCUCAACUUGGAAAUGGCAUCGGAUACUAUUCGGCUCGAGGAAUGGAGGGGAGACUGGAAUACUUGGUGUAGCAGUGAAAUGCGUAGAUAUCAAGUGGAACACCAGUGGCGAAGGCGAGUCUCUGGACAUUUCCUGACGCUGAGGCACGAAAGCCAGGGGAGCAAACGGG
rnacentral:rRNA from 1 species